GUCUCCUGAAACUGGCUGUGAAAAAAAAUGAGGGACUUCAAUAAAGAUAUGGAAGGAGGACCCUACAUCCUUCUGUAUCCUGAUGGAUCAAAAGUCAUCAACAUCCCUGGGACACAAAAGCCUUUCACGCUGAAAGAAUACAAAGCAGAAGUAGGCCGGACACAUGCACAAAUUACACUUUUUAUAUUCCAUGAAAAGGACCGGGAAGAAGAUCGAGAACUUGGGUCAGAGCAUUCAGAAUCUGACACUGAGGUUGUGAUUGGAAGUAGAAGACGUACAGCUGAGUUUGAUCUCGCUGACACACUGCCAUUGGAACCAGAAUGAAAGCAGCCCCAUACCAAACGUGAGAGGAACAAUCAAUCGUCUUGGGGGACCGUCACCAGUGAGUGCAGUACCAGAGGUAGUAAUAUAUUGCUAGAGAUUACUUGUCACAAUCCAAUUCAAACUACAUGGGAUUGCCUUUUAUGUGUGUAUUAGGCUACUCAUUUGUAUAUAGGCCUAAUGUAGUUUCAUAGAUUAUAGACAGCUAUAUUUGUAAUCACAUUCUACUUUCUGCGUGUCCAGUAUUUUAAAGAACGGGCAUAGGCAUAGCCUAAUAAAGCAUUGGUCAUUCUUUAUUGAAAAACCCAGGAGUUAAAAGUAAAAUGUAAACAACCACAGAGAUGGUUAAUCCCAAAGCAUUGAAAAAUGAUCAAAAUGUAUUACUUUCUAGAUGGUAAUGCAAAUGAGUAAAUAGAAAUGUAAAAUUUUAAUCAAAAUGUGCAAGUCUCUUCACUGACAGUAAGUACAUUCUGAAUUAACAUGGAUUACCUAUGAGGUAAGUGGUAGAGUUCAUUUGGUAUUCCCCCAGGACAUGAUGCAAGUCUGGAGGGCCAAAUCCUGUGCUUGUUCCAGAGAUCGGUUUAUUCAUUGAGAUCUUUCUGCAGAAUAUUUCUAAAGCAGAAUCUGAGUAGACACUGGUGUUCAUUGCUGCCAUUAAAGUGUCCUGCGUCUGUGAAGUCCAUCCAAAAUUGAGCCCUAGGAAUAAAUUGAAUACAACUCCAUAAAUAAAAUGAAUUGUGACCUGCAAUACUGCAAGUGCUUUAUAAAAGUACAACACGGUGUUAACAAAGUAUUGCAAUGGUGGCUCUAGUGACACCAGGGUAGCCUACAUCCUUAACAGUGGUUCCCAACCAAGGGUAGUAGGGUUGAGCCCAGAGACUGUAAAAAAUAUGGACAAAGCUACUGUGACAUUUAGCAAUCUCAUACACACACACUACCAGCAUCAUUGACGUCCUAGCAUUCUUAUACAUCCACUGUACUAAUGCAAUAUCACUUUUGUGCACAUUUAGACGUCGUCGCUCACCUGAAAUCACAAGACAUACAGUACAUCGUGGUUAGCCAACUGUAACCUGGCACGCUCUGUCUACUACUGUCUUCACACCAUCCGUUCAUGUAAAAAAUAAUAAAACCAGAGUAAUGAGAACAGCGUCUUUUACUGCUACCAGUACCACAGAGCGAAUGCGUAAGUGAAUGCAAUGAUAAGAAAACUUUCGGUUACGCUGACCUAUAAAACGCUAUUCCAAAAGCAAAAUUAGACAUACAUCGUUAGAAAGCUUAUAC